rnacentral:lncRNA from 1 species
CCGACCAAUCUAAUAUAAUAUGACAACUUGCAUACUUUACAAAAUUUAUAAAUACUACCCACAACAAUUAUAUCAAAUUCAUUCCAUAAUAUUCAAAUAAAAUAAUAUUUAUAGAAAAAUUUAUUUUUAUUCUUAAAAGUGGGGUCUUACAUAUGUUAUUAGCAUAAUGCAAAUGGAUCUUCACUCGGCAUGCGGUAGUUCGCAUACACAGAUUAUUCCAACAGAAUAAUAAAGAAUAGAAUCAGGUCAUGCGUAAUCCGCACAGACAUGAUAUUCUAACAGAAUAAUAAAGAAUGGAAUAACAACAGAAUUCACCAUGCAUGCGAUAGACGGCACAGACAGGUUAUUCCAACAGAAUAAUAAAUAAUGGAAUAACAGAAGAAUUUCACCAGGUAUGCAGUAUUCUGCAUAUACAGGUUAUUUCUACAAAUUAAUAAGCGGUAAAAAGGUUCCCACCAAGUCUUGUAAGAUCAACAAGGAUGGAUGGUACCAUUUUAAAUAACAGAAUUUAAAAAUGGACAAUAAAACAUAAAUAUAACUUGACAGUUAAUAUAAUAGGCGGCAAAGCCAGGCCAAUUAUAAGAAAAACAUUAUACUAUUGGUGGUAUAGCCAAACCGGUAGUAUAAUAAUAAAUUACAAGAAUUUAAUUUUACCGUCUCAGUUGGUUAGAGUUUCGUGCUGAUAACGUGUUAUAAAACUUUAGCAAAGUAUAGAAAUAUACUCUUAUAAUUGCUGCAUAAAUUUAGAUAAAUUUAGAGAGAAUAAGUAAGAGAAAAAAGAAAAAUUCUUCAGAGGAAUUCUU